CUGAUUUGGCCAUUGAUGAAGUCGGCACUUACAGGGAAUGUCGUGGGAGGUUUGGCUCAAGGUUGGCACGUUCCUCUGCAGAGAAAAUGUCACCAACUGAGUGGUGGUUCCAAUUUGGAGGGGAAGUUCCUAAUCUGCAGAAGUGUGCCUUGAGGAUUGUAUCACAAUGCGUUUCGUCAAGUGGCUGUGAGAGGAAUUGGAGCGCUUUUGCUUUGGUCCACACGAAGCAAAGAAACCGUCUUCUAUAUGGCAAGCUGCACAAGCUUGUAUCUGUGCGCUACAACUUGAAGAUACGUGCUGAAGAAGAACAAGACCCGGUGAGAUAGAAUGAUAAGCAGAAGGAAGUUGAUGCAUGUGCAAUGAUGAUGGAUACAACCAUGUUUGAUGCAACAAAUCCUAUGAUGGAAUGGUUGAAUGAGGAUGAGGAGCAUGCAAUCUUGGAUGGAGUUGAUGCUGCUAGCGCCGUGUUUGAGAAAAUACGUUUGCUUAACUCAAGUAGGAAAGUUUCUCGUCUUGCAAGGAAGGACAAUGGCAGGAAAAGAAAGAGGGUAGAGGAAGAAGUGGAUGACUACCAUGAUAGUGAGGAUGAUGAUGAAGAAAAUGAGGAGCUGGACCUGGAAAUUGAUGAUGAUGAUGAUAGCCAUGAUGAUGGUGCAAGUCAAUCUGAUGGAGGAGAUUCGCCAAUGCACAUUGAAAAGGAUUUAACAAGCCAAGUUGGAAACAAUGUUGAGGUAACAAGUGAUGGUAGUUUGGUGAACCGUAGAUCUGAACGGGUUAGGCAAGCCAAGAAGGUCAAGGAGGUCACCAGCCUUUACAAUUGACAAGUUAAGCGGCAUGGGAGCAAAAGAGCUUUUGGUUGAUGAAGACUAACGGGUGGAUGAACAGGAAGUCCGAAGUGAAGGUCUCUGUUCGAUUCAAUACUUUUGGUGCAAGACUGAAGAGUUGAAGAACAUGAAGUCUGAAUUGAACUUUCUGUUUGUAUUUUGGGGUCGGCAUAAUUGAACUUCGAAUGCCGUGUUAAAUUCAUUGUGGACUGUAAU